GACGAACGCUGGCGGCGUGCCUAAUACAUGCAAGUCGAGCGGACUGAUUAAGAGCUUGCUCUUAUGACGUUAGCGGCGGACGGGUGAGUAACACGUGGGCAACCUGCCCUGUAGAUCGGGAUAACACCGAGAAAUCGGUGCUAAUACCGGGUAAUAUCUGAGAUCACAUGAUCUUAGGUUAAAAGAUGGCUCCGGCUAUCACUACAGGAUGGGCCCGCGGCGCAUUAGCUAGUUGGUAAGGUAAUGGCUUACCAAGGCGACGAUGCGUAGCCGACCUGAGGGGGUGAUCGGCCACACUGGGACUGGGAACAGGCCCAGACUCCUACGGGAGGCAGCAGUAGGGAAACUUCCGGAAUUGACGAAAGGCUGACGGAGCAACGCCGCGUGAGUGAUGAAGGGUUUCGGCUCGUAAAGCUCUGUUGUUAGGGAAGAAACAGUACCGAACGAACUAGGUCGGUACCUUGACGGUACCUAACCAGAAAGCCACGGCUAACUACGU
rnacentral:rRNA from 1 species